AUAAGCAGCCAUAUCACCCUGCAACUCACAACUGGCAGCCCACUGAAGCUAAGCAGGUGUGAGCCUGGUCAGUACCUGGAUGGGAGACCUCCUGGGAAAAACUAAGGUUGCUGCUGGAA
ensembl:rRNA 5S_rRNA 5S ribosomal RNA